GAGUUUGAUCAUGGCUCAGAUUGAACGCUGGCGGCAGGCUUAACACAUGCAAGUCGAGCGGAAACGAUGGGAGCUUGCUCCCAGGCGUCGAGCGGCGGACGGGUGAGUAACGCGUAGGAAUCUACCCAGUAGAGGGGGAUAGCCCGAGGAAACUCGGAUUAAUACCGCAUACGCCCCACGGGGGAAAGGCCGGGAUCUUCGGACCGGUCACUAUUGGAUGAGCCUGCGUUGGAUUAGCUUGUUGGUGGGGUAAAGGCCUACCAAGGCGACGAUCCAUAGCUGGUCUGAGAGGAUGAUCAGCCACACUGGGACUGAGACACGGCCCAGACUCCUACGGGAGGCAGCAGUGGGGAAUAUUGGACAAUGGGGGCAACCCUGAUCCAGCCAUGCCGCGUGUGUGAUGAAGGCCCUAGGGUCGUAAAGCACUUUCGCCAGAGAUGAUAAUGACAGUAUCUGGUAAAGAAACCCCGGCUAACUCCGUGCCAGCAGCCGCGGUAAUACGGAGGGGGUUAGCGUUGUUCGGAAUUACUGGGCGUAAAGCGUACGUAGGCGGAUUAGUAAGUUAGGGGUGAAAUCCCAGGGCUCAACCCUGGAACUGCCUCUAAAACUGCUAGUCUUGAGUUCGAGAGAGGUGAGUGGAAUUCCGAGUGUAGAGGUGAAAUUCGUAGAUAUUCGGAGGAACACCAGUGGCGAAGGCGGCUCACUGGCUCGAUACUGACGCUGAGGUACGAAAGCGUGGGGAGCAAACAGGAUUAGAUACCCCGGUAGUCCACGCCGUAAACGAUGUCUACUAGCCGUUGGGAGACUUGAUCUCUUAGUGGCGCAGCUAACGCAAUAAGUAGACCGCCUGGGGAGUACGGCCGCAAGGUUAAAACUCAAAUGAAUUGACGGGGGCCCGCACAAGCGGUGGAGCAUGUGGUUUAAUUCGAUGCAACGCGAAGAACCUUACCUGGUCUUGACAUCCUACGAACUUACUAGAGAUAGUUUGGUGCCUUUGGGAACGUAGUGACAGGUGCUGUAUGGCUGUCGUCAGCUCGUGUUGUGAAAUGUUGGGUUAAGUCCCGUAACGAGCGCAACCCUUAUCCUUAUUUGUUAGCACGUAAUGGUGGGAACUCUAGGGAGACUGCCGGUGAUAAACCGGAGGAAGGUGGGGACGACGUCAAGUCAUUAUGGCCCUUACGACCUUGUCUACACACGCGCUACAAUGGCCGGUACAGAGGGCUGCAACCCCGCGAGGGUGAGCUAAUCCCACAAAACCGGUCGUAGUCCGGAUUGGAGUCUGCAACUCGACUCCAUGAAGUCGGAAUCGCUAGUAAUCGUGAAUCAGAAUGUCACGGUGAAUACGUUCCCGGGCCUUGUACACACCGCCCGUCACACCAUGGGAGUGGAUUGCACCAGUAGUAGUUAGUCUAACCUUCGGGAGGACGAUUACCACGGUGUGGUUCAUGACUGGGGUGAAGUCGUAACAAGGUAGCC
rnacentral:rRNA from 1 species